AUGGUUGAUGGUGAGCUGACUAUGGUGCGGCAAAAUGCCAAAACAAGGAGGAGGAUCUCAUUGACUGGGAAUCUGAUCUGGAGAUCUCUGCUUUGUCUCUACUGGUCCCAUCCAGCCCUUCUUUGUCCAUGGUUCCCUCGUCCAGCCCUGAGGGGGCUUCUGAUUCACAUGUGCCUGCUCUUGGAAUGUGCUCUCCAGUGCCUGCUCCUAACAUGUGCCCUCCAGUGCCUGCUCCUAACAUGUGCCCUCCAGUGUCUGCUCCUAGAAUGUGCCCUCCAGUGCCUGCUCCUAACAUGUGCUCUCCAGUGCCUGCUCCUAGAAUGUGCUCUCCAGUGCCUGCUCCUAACAUGUGCCCUCCAGUGCCUGCUUCUAGAAUGUGCCCUCCAGUGCCUGCUCCUAGAAUGUGCUCUCCAGUGCCUGCUCCUAACAUGUGCCCUCCAGUGCCUGCUUCUAGAAUGUGCCCUCCAGUGCCUGCUCUUAGAAUGUGCUCUCCAGUUCCUGCUCCUAGAAUGUGCUCUCCAUUGCUUGCUCUUAGAAUGUGCCCUCCAGUGCCUGCUCCUAACAUGUGCCCUCCAGUGUCUGCUCCUAACAUGUACCCUCCAGUGCCUGCUCCUAGAACGUGCUCUCCAGUGUCUCCUCUUAGAAUGUGCUCUCCAGUGCCUGCUCCUCGAAAAUACCCGCACUCCCACCUGCUCCAGCCUCCUCCACUGUUGUCAUCUGGCAGCCCUCAGCCCACCAUCAUUGUGGUGCAAGCCCCGCGGGACUGCCAUCCUCCAGCGUCGCUGUGGUCAGAGUCUCUUCAUACCACCGCCUCCAACCUCCGAGACCUGGACUCCGCCUCGGUCGUUUGACCAGUCGGCUCCACCAUGGCUCAUAGCUCCCUCCCUCUCUCCCUCCCAGCAGUCCACAAGUCUCUGGCUCUUAUCAUCCCUCCGGCUCCACCUUGGUCUAGGGUUUCCUCUUUCCUCCAUCCCCCUGGCUCCGUCAGGCUCCUUUAUCCCCUUCGGCUCCAACUCAGUCCUCUGUUGCUUCAGCUCCACCCCAGCCCCGGAUCCACAGCUCCGCCUAGGACCUCCGGAUCCUCUCUGUGACCCUGGAUCUUUGGCUCUCCACCUCGGACUCCUCGGACUCCUCGUCCUCGGUCCUGCUGGGCUCCUCCUGCUCCAAGCUCCAGCCCCCACACCCUCGUUGUUCUAUGGUGUGAGGUCACACCUUGCGGGAGGGGGGAGUAAUAUUACACCCCGGAGUCAUUAUGUUGUGUUUUCCCUGCAUGUGUUCCGUGUCCCACGUUAA
rnacentral:lncRNA from 1 species